rnacentral:misc_RNA from 1 species
UUUCCGUAGGUGAGCCUGCGGAAGGAUCAUUGACGAGUUAGGGUCUUCUAGGCCCGACCUCCCAACCCUUUGUUUACUGAACCAUUGUUGCCUCGGUGGGUCCGUCUUACGACCGCCGGGGGAUCGCCGCGAGGCGCCCCCUGGCCAGCGCCCACCGAUAGCCCAACCUUUAAAGCCCUUUGUGAAUCGUGUCUUAUGUCUAAAUUUAUGAUUAAACAAUCAAAACAAAACUUUCAACAACGGAUCUCUUGGUUCUG